GUGGGGAAUCUUGCGCAAUGGGCGAAAGCCUGACGCAGCCAUGCCGCGUGGAUGAUGAAGGUCUUAGGAUUGUAAAAUCCUUUCACCGGUGAAGAUAAUGACUGUAGCCGGAGAAGAAGCCCCGGCUAACUUCGUGCCAGCAGCCGCGGUAAUACGAAGGGGGCUAGCGUUGCUCGGAUUUACUGGGCGUAAAGGGCGCGUAGGCGGACAUUUAAGUCAGGGGUGAAAUCCCGGGGCUCAACCUCGGAACUGCCUUUGAUACUGGAUGUCUUGAGUGUGAGAGAGGUGUGUGGAACUCCGAGUGUAGAGGUGAAAUUCGUAGAUAUUCGGAAGAACACCAGUGGCGAAGGCGACACACUGGCUCAUUACUGACGCUGAGGCGCGAAAGCGUGGGGAGCAAACAGGAUUAGAAACCCUUGUAGUCC
rnacentral:rRNA from 1 species